CCUACGGGUGGCAGCAGUGAGGAAUAUUGGUCAAUGGACGCGAGCCUGAACCAGCCAAGUAGCGUGAAGGAUGACUGCCCUAUGGGUUGUAAACUUCUUUUAUCAGGGAAUAAAACGCGGCACGUGUACCUUUUUGCAUGUACUUUAUGAAUAAGGAUCGGCUAACUCCGUGCCAGCAGCCGCGGUAAUACGGAGGAUCCGAGCGUUAUCCGGAUUUAUUGGGUUUAAAGGGAGCGUAGAUGGGUUGUUAAGUCAGUUGUGAAAGUUUGCGGCUCAACCGUAAAAUUGCAAUUGAUACUGGCAGGCUUGAGUACAGUAGAGGUAGGCGGAAUUCGUGGUGUAGCGGUGAAAUGCGUAGAUAUCACGAAGAACCCCGAUUGCGAAGGCAGCUUACUAAACUGUAACUGACAUUGAUGCUCGAAAGUGUGGGUAUCAAACAGGAUUAGAUACCCUUGUAGUC
rnacentral:rRNA from 1 species